GACGAGGGAUCCUAGCGUUGUUCGGAAUCAUUGGGCGUAAAGCGGGUGUAGGUGGUCUGAUAAGUCAGAUGUGAAAGCCCAGGGCUUAACCCUGGAAGUGCAUUUGAUACUGUUAGGCUUGAGUGUGGGAGAGGAUAGCAGAAUUCCUGGUGUAGUGGUGAAAUACGUAGAUAUCAGGAGGAAUACCGGAGGCGAAGGCGGCUAUCUGGCCCAACACUGACACUGAGACCCGAAAGCGUGGGGAUCAAAC
rnacentral:rRNA from 1 species